AAUAUGGAAAGCAUGUGAUGAAUUGUCCAUUGCUACCAACAUUUUCCGCAAGGUUGUGGAAUCCCACGGUAUUCUAGCUGAGCAAAGGGUGGGAAACUGAGACACUGUUGGGACCUGUCUACACUACAGGUCUGUAGUGCAUUUGUAAGCUGCUGACUCCCACAUGCUGUUCAGAGCCUAUGGACAACAUGGCUCCUAAAGUUGCAGAUGGAGGACACUGGCAAUGGAUGGUCUGUCUCAGGAUCUCUGGAACAUCGGAGGAUUUGGCUCUCUACUGCCGAAGCAGGAGAUCAACAGAUCUGAGCGGAUAGCACAGACUUCACUGGAUCCUUUGGUGGAUUAC